rnacentral:rRNA from 1 species
UACGUAGGUGGCAAGCGUUGUCCGGAUUUACUGGGCGUAAAGAGCGCGCAGGCGGUCGGAUAAGUCGAAUGUGAAAGCCCCCGGCUCAACUGGGGAGGGUCAUCGAUACUGUUCGACUGGAAGGCAGGAGAGGGAAGCGGAAUUCCCGGUGUAGUGGUGAAAUGCGUAGAUAUCAGGAGGAAUACCGAUGGCGAAGGCAGGUCUCUGGGCUGACACUGACGCUCAUGCACGAAAGCGU